rnacentral:rRNA from 1 species
CCUACGGGAGGCAGCAGUGAGGAAUAUUGGACAAUGGGCGCAAGCCUGAUCCAGCCAUGCCGCGUGCAGGAAGAAGCAUCUAUGGUGUGUAAACUGCUUUUGUACAGGAAGAAACACUCCCUCGUGAGGGAGCUUGACGGUACUGUAAGAAUAAGGACCGGCUAACUCCGUGCCAGCAGCCGCGGUAAUACGGAGGGUCCGAGCGUUAUCCGGAAUCAUUGGGUUUAAAGGGUCCGUAGGCGGUUUAAUAAGUCAGUGGUGAAAUCUGGUCGCUCAACGAUCAAACGGCCAUUGAUACUGUUAGACUUGAAUUAUAAGGAAGUAACUAGAAUAUGUAGUGUAGCGGUGAAAUGCUUAGAUAUUACAUGGAAUACCAAUUGCGAAGGCAGGUUACUACUUAUGGAUUGACGCUGAUGGACGAAAGCGUGGGGAGCGAACAGGAUUAGAUACCCUGGUAGUCCACGCCGUAAACGAUGGAUACUAGCUGUUCGGAGCAAAUCUGAGUGGCUAAGCGAAAGUGAUAAGUAUCCCACCUGGGGAGUACGUUCGCAAGAAUGAAACUCAAAAUGAAAUUGACGGCUGAGAGAGCGACGACGACGACGAGGGAGGAGG